ACAAACAUUUAGAAAAGCAGAGUAACUGAUGGCGGCUACCAAGAGAGCUUCUGGUUGGUGGAAAGAAGUUGGCUUAGAUUGGUGAAGAUGGGCUUGGAAUGGCACUGGCGAUUCAUUAGUCAGUGACGGGUUUGCACCCGUUACCAAUGCAGGGUUAUUCAGUUUUGAGUAACUCGGCAAGGUUUCACCUGUGAGGGUGAAAUGAAUCAAAGGUGGUAACACGAGCAAUCGUCCUUGAU
rnacentral:ncRNA from 1 species